rnacentral:rRNA from 1 species
AGAUUGAACGCUGGCGGCAGGCCUAACACAUGCAAGUCGAGCGGCAGCACGGGUACUUGUACCUGGUGGCGAGCGGCGGACGGGUGAGUAAUGCCUAGGAAUCUGCCUGAUAGUGGGGGAUAACGUUCGGAAACGGACGCUAAUACCGCAUACGUCCUACGGGAGAAAGUGGGGGAUCUUCGGACCUCACGCUAUCAGAUGAGCCUAGGUCGGAUUAGCUAGUUGGAGGUAAAGGCCUACCAAGGCUACGAUCCGUAACUGGUCUGAGAGGAUGAUCAGUCACACUGGAACUGAGACACGGUCCAGACUCCUACGGGAGCAGCAGUGGGAAUAUGGACAAUGGGCGAAAGCCUGAUCCAGCCAUGCCGUCGUGUGGUGAAGAAGGUCUUCGGAUUGUAAAGCUACUUUAAGUUGGAGUAAGGCAAUUAACCUAAUACGUUUAGUAGUUUUAGACGUUACCGAAUA